AUGGGCAGAUGCCUCUCUUUUCUACUCCUCCUGGGCGUCGCGCUUGCGCUCGCCGGCCCGGCUAACGGCGACAUAUCGGCGGGGUUCGCCGCUUCAGGGGCAGCAUACAGCAUCGACGCCGCGGUGCGGCAGCUGAUGUCGCCAUCGUCGAUGAAGCUGGAGGACGGCGUGGACCCUGAGCUUAGUAUCGACCUGGAGGUGCACCGCCGCGUCCUCGCCGGCAUCAGCCCCGGUGCCCUGAACCGCAACAGGCCCGCCUGCCCCGGCGCGUGCCCGGCGCCAGGAGGAUCGUACACCAACCGGGGAUGCCAGAAGAAGUACCAGUGCCGUGGCUGA
rnacentral:rRNA from 1 species